ACGAGACAGUAAAAUUAGUUUUAUAUUUAAACAAAAAAAAUUUUUAGCGCUUUUUAAUGCUUAAAACAUUGACAAGUCUGGUAAUCAAUCAUCUGUUUAAAAUAUCAAGAAGAAAUGAAGAAAAUGCAAAAUUCGAUAAAUAGGAAGGAGAAGUAAAAAAGAAAUUUGCGAUGACAUUUAAACAUCAGUCUUUAAUUUGCUAUUUUCCUAAAAUGUUUUGGUGAAAAUGUGCUCUAUAAUAGUGAAAAAUUAAUAGAGAAAAUAAAAAAAGAAAGAAAAUAAAACCAAAUAUUAAACCAAUAAAAAAAAUCCAUUUUAAAGAAAUAAGUGUAUAUUAUUGAAAAAAAUAAAAUAUAUUAUAAAAAAGUAGAUUAAAAAAAUAUAUAUAAGAGAAUUUCUUCAAUACAUAAAUAUGUAUAAAAAUUCCAUCAUUAAAUAAUCGGGGAAAAAAAAGAAAUACGUACAUACAAUCAAAACGCCAAUUAAUAGCUUUUACAGCCAAUGAAGUGUGAGGUUGAAAAUAAAAUUUUGAUAUUUUUAAGUAAAUAAAUAAACCUCAAAAAAUAGUGAACAACAAUUUAUUAACAUAUAUAUAUUAUGAUUAAUUACGGAAAUUGAAAAGAAAUUGUUUUUUUUUUAUAAAUAGAUUAAAGAUAAAUUGUGGUCUGUGUGAUUGAUGUUUGUUGGUCUGUAAAACAAAAGAAAUUUAUGCAUAUUUCCAUUGUUACAAUAACAACAACAACAACAAAAGUAAAAGAGGAAUAAAAUAGUACCCUCAGUUUUUUAUAAUAACAACAACAAAUAACAAAAAAAGUUUUUAGUAAAACGUCUUUAUUGUUGUGUUUUUUUAUUUUUUCGGCAAUUAGGUAUUUUGUGUUUUACUGCUUUUUAUCUUCAUUUACAUACUUUUAACAACAAUAACAACAAACUAUUAUUUACAAUAAUAACAAAUUGAAAAUAAAAACAAAAGAAAAAUAUUGUUUUGCACUGUGGUGUUAUUUUACUCGAAAUAAAACAAAACUUUUGUUUUCAAUUCUGGAAUUACAAUUGUUUAUGCGGAAUUUUUACAACAGAUGAAACAAAUUUAUGACUUAUCUGUUUAUAAGAGUUACAAAAUAAACCUAAAGAAAAACAGAAUUUUUUA